rnacentral:rRNA from 1 species
CGGACGGGUGAGGAAUACAUCGGAAUCUACUCUGUCGUGGGGGAUAACGUAGGGAAACUUACGCUAAUACCGCAUACGACCUACGGGUGAAAGCAGGGGAUCUUCGGACCUUGCGCGAUUGAAUGAGCCGAUGUCGGAUUAGCUAGUUGGUGAGGUAAUGGCUCACCAAGGCGACGAUCCGUAACUGGUCUGAGAGGAUGAUCAGUCACACUGGAACUGAGACACGGUCCAGACUCCUACGGGAGGCAGCAGUC